GAGCACUGUUGUCUCCCCACUAGCUGCAGUUGUCACUCCUCUGCCAGGAACGUCGUCUGGUGUACUGCGUGCAGUCUCGUCACCUCAGCACUUAGGAGGUGGAAGUGGCUGGCAUCCCCCCAAAGAUUGCCCAUCGUCCAGUAGUCUAGCAGCUCCAGCACAGCCAACAAAAGGCAAGCUGGAUAACCUCCGCAAGAAAGUGCACCAGUUGCAAGCCCUGUGUUCAGCACCUGUGUUCAUAGAUACCUAGCAUACAUUUUCUAUUUUGAAUCUUCAGCAGUUUGCUAUUCUUUGAUACGUAUUAGGUGUAUCCGUGUGGAAGCCCCAGCCGUCAUCCCAUAAUAAAGUUGUUGUUUGCUUCCCCUUGUAUAUAGAUUCCUAGCAUGGAUUUUCUAUUUUGGAUCAUCAGCAGUUUGCCCUCUCUUUGAUAUGCAUUUAGUGUAUACCUGUCUACAUAGAUCCCUAGUACGUAAUUUUAUAUUUUGGAUCAUGUGCUGAGUUCGAUAGUUGUGUGCACAACUGCCAGUAUGUACGUGCAGUUAUGUGCAGGGCUAAGCACUUUGUGCAGCUUAAAAAACCUACACCACGUAGCAAAAUGUGCACAAAAUAGCAGAAGCAGAAAACAUUGUCAAUGCUUUGACAUGCCUUUAAUACAAAAAUGCUGUUGUAAUCAAAGUAGUAGUCAUGAACAGUGUGUAUGCUCUGAACAAGGUUGUCAUUGCUGGAAGCUGAUAGUAUUUUGGCUGUUUUGCAAGAUAAAGUAUCACAGACUUCUAAACUGAGCUAAUGGACUUGUGCUUUCGAAUUCCUCCAUAGCAUUCAUUACGAAUGCCAAAAACUGUUGGGAGACAUAGCACCACACAGCAUGCAAGUAUCAUAUAAUGUGACCCAAAAGUGCAAAUAUGUUCACUUCCGCCUUCUUGGUACGAGAGAUAUGUGGAAAGCUCCAGAUGUGCAUGGGGACAGCAAUAGUCCUGGGCCCUAUCUAUGUUUGCUGGAAUUUGUACAUUAUCUUUUUGUGCUUAUUCACUACAUAGGCUGUCACACUGGUUAUUGCACAUUAUUCUGUCGUGGGUGUUUAUACUGGAGUUGGACGGACUACAUAAUACUGUUUAUACUGUAUUUAUACUGUUUACAAUGCCAUGGCGAAUUUACCUGUGAUAAAAGAAAGCAAGCCCCCA